AGAGAUUGUUGGUGAGAAAUGGAGAAAAGGGGAUAUGGAGAGGGGAGAGGUUGUUUUGGGUUCUGGUAGAUGGCGAAAAGGGGAAUUUGCCAGAGAUAAGAUUGAGAAAGGAGAGUUCGUUCCAGAUAGAUGGCAUAAUAAAGACGAUUACUGUUAUAAUAAGUCCCGUGGCAGGUAUGACACCAGCAGAGAGCGUACCCCAUCUUCUGGAAAUUAUUCCAGUGAAGACAUUUACAGA
rnacentral:misc_RNA from 1 species